rnacentral:rRNA from 1 species
CACGUAGGGGGCGAGCGUUGUCCGGAUUUAUUGGGCGUAAAGAGCUCGUAGGCGGUUUCGUUAGUCGGGUGUGAAAACCCCAGGCUCAACCUGGGGACGCCACCCGAUACUGCGAUGACUAGAGUCCGGUAGGGGAGUGUGGAAUUCCUGGUGUAGCGGUGAAAUGCGCAGAUAUCGAGAGGAACACCUGCGGCGAAGGCGGGUUGCUGGGCUGAUACUGACGCUGAGGCGCGAAAGCCAGGGGAGCGAACGGG